UUAGCAGCUGGCCUCACUGCUUAGGUUCCUGAAGCCUACCUGUUACAGCGUCCUUGCUACAGGAAGAGAUCAUUGUCUGACCAGAGACAUAACUUACUUCUGUCUGGUAGCAGAGUACCUACAUUUGGCUUUCCGGAUCUCACCUCAGUUCCAGAUUCCUCUACAUUAAAAUCUUCGCCUGUGUUACAUCUUCUCUCAGGAUUGAAUAUCAACACUAUUGAAGACACCUCAUGUGACAUCACAAACAGCUUUCUUGGCCUCUCCAGGGAGGUGGAGCAAGAUGGCUGAAUAGAAGCCUCCAGCAAUUGUCCCCCACUCACAGGAACACCAAAUUGAACAACUAUCCACACACAAAAAAGCACCUUCAUACAAAGAAAAAUCAGUUUUAACAUGUGUCUGAAAAAAACUGCAAGGG